GCCCGCUGGCUAGACCAUGGAGGGCCGCUGGGUGCAGCCACAGAGCGCGGGGCCCCGGCGACCCCGCCCCGCUCCGCGUCACUCGGCGCCCUGCGGCGCGCGAUGAGCACCUACCACUAGCGGAGCCGCGAGGGAGAGGCCGCGGCCCCUUCCCGUUGCCUGCGGCCACGGGCCGGCAUUCAGAGCCCCUCGCCUGGCGCUAAAUUUAAAAACGUAACACGAGCAGCAGGCUGGUCUCGGAAACGAAACGAAACUCGGUCCCUGGGCCUCCUCCCGGGCGCUGCCGGUCCCUGCCGGUCCCUCAGCGCGCCGCGCCACCCGGAACAGACCCCUCUCCCGCCAUUUUCGGCGGGGCUGGGAGACUGAGGCCCGCGGCGCUGAGCCUGCGGCGCCCCGGAAGAGGCGGGCGGCAUGGCCGCUGGCGUGGACUGCGGGGACGGGGUUGGCGCCCGGCAGCACGUGUUCCUGGUUCCAGAAUAUUUAAAAGAUGCUUCAAAGAAGAUGAAAAAUGGGCUAAUGUUUGUAAAACUGGUUAACCCCUGUUCAGGAGAAGGAGCCAUUUACUUGUUCAAUAUGUGUCUACAGCAGCUGUUUGAAGUAAAAGUUUUCAAGGAAAAACACCAUUCUUGGUUUAUAAAUCAAUCAGUUCAAUCAGGAGGUCUUCUCCAUUUUGCCACACCUGUGGAUCCUCUAUUUCUGCUUCUGCACUACCUCAUAAAGGCUGAUAAGGAGGGGAAGUUUCAGCCCCUUGAUCAAGUUGUGGUGGAUAACGUGUUUCCAAAUUGCAUCUUGUUGCUGAAACUUCCUGGACUUGAGAAGUUACUUCAUCAUGUGACAGAGGAAAAAGGUAAUCCAGAAAUAGACAACAAGAAAUAUUACAAGUACAGCAAAGAGAAGACAUUAAAGUGGCUGGAAAAAAAGGUUAAUCAAACUGUGGCAGCAUUAAAAACCAAUAAUGUGAAUGUCAGUUCCCGGGUACAGUCAACUGCAUUUUUCUCUGGUGACCAAGCUUCCACUGACAAGGAAGAGGAUUAUAUUCGUUAUGCCCAUGGUCUGAUAUCUGACUACAUCCCUAAAGAAUUAAGUGAUGACUUAUCUAAAUACUUAAAGCUUCCAGAACCUUCAGCCUCAUUGCCAAAUCCUCCAUCAAAGAUGGCAGCACAAAGACAGAAAAGGGGCAAGUGAUGGUGGUGGCUCCACGCAAGGCUUGGCGGUUUUCCCUGCAACUUCAGACACUCCCAGAGGACUCGGACUUUUUCUUCUGCACUUUUUUGGAAAAUCGCCAGGUGCCAAAAGGUGUAUUUUAAAGCGCUGACUGUAAAAUGCUUUAUUUCUUUGAUUAGUACCACUAGUCUAUGUGGGCAGCGGCAUUCCUCCCUGGAGCACUCAGCUAGGCGGUUCCGUCCAGGAGCUUGAAAGCAUCCCAGCAGUGCACCUGUUCAGUCUGAGGACCUCAAGCUUGGGUCAAGCCAGCAUGUUUUAGAUUGUUGGCCAGCCUGUCACGGAGAGUGACGCCUCAGCAUCAGGGGAGCAAGAGCUUCUCAACGUUGGCUGCACAUUGGAAUCACCUGGGAAGCUUUAAGAAAUACUGAUGCGGGACCCACUCCUACAGAUGCUGCAAAUAAUCAGUCUGAGGCCCUGGGAUUGGCUGAAGACAGAGCCAGGUCCUGCCUGUGCCCUCCUGGGAAUUGCUGAGACAGUUAAUGCCUCUUGGGACAAGUAAGGUACUAGCUUAAAUGGAUCACAAGCUCCUGUGUGCCCUUAAGAUUUUCGUUAAUGUCUAGGUCAAAAAAAAUACUUAUUUUCUUAUCAUCACGAAAUGCAGAUGCAUAGCCCCAUCUCAUGCCUCGCUUCUCCUAGUUGGGAUGGCCUCUGAGAACAUUUCCAACACUCUUCUUUGCAGAAGGUAUUCUGCACCUACAGCUGGAAGCAGGAGAGGAACCGGCCAAAGGUGUCUUGGCUGUGCUCUGCCUUCUUUCCUUAGCUUUCCUAACUCUGCCUUUCCGGUGAUUUUUAUGUUUUCCCUUUCAUUUUACUUUCAGAAAAUCUCUGGGGAAUGCAGCUUUUGUUCUGUUGCUUCACGUAAUUCCCAGGGCAGGGAAUGAAAAUUAUUUGCUUUCACAACUUCUGGCUGAGUGCCUUUCACAGCCCGGCUGUGUUCUGGGGUGAUUUAUAAACUGCAGAGGCUGGGUCUCUUUCCUCCUCCUCUUCCUCCUCUUCCUCCUCCUCCUCCCCCCUCCCCCUCCCCCUCCGCCUUCCCCUCCUCCUCCCUUUCUCCUUCCCACCACCCUUUAAAACAAGGUGAGCCUCCAGAGUCAGGGUGUCAGCCACUGGGGCUCUUGUUCAGGCAAAGGUUCAGUGGAACCAUAGUGAUGAGAGCUUGAAGCCAUUCAUUCCUGUUAGAAGAAGACAGAAAUAGGCCUCAAGGCCGAACUUACGUCUCUGAGAACAAAUUUGACCCAAAAUCUCAAAGUUUAGGGUUGGCUUUGAACUAAGAAUAUAAAAGCACAUUUUCCAAACUUGUCAGGAUUGUGUUUCAUUUCUAGACUUUUAUUCUCAAAGGGAUGAUGAGGAAGAGACACGGCUUAAGAAGUUUUGAGCUGAGAAAUGAAAAGAAGUCACUUUUCUUUGCUGCCACAGAACUAAGUAGGGGGAAAAUAAAGCCCAGGGGUUCAUUUAACCUGUUACAACAAAACACAGAAACCAGACGGCAAAGUGUCAUUUGCAAGGUGAUGUGUCUUUGUCGGAGCUGAAGGCUGUCGCCGGUCGGCUGUCUCCAUGGAGUCCCCAUCUGGCCCUGCACUCCCCACAGGGAUGAUUUCAUCAGGAGCUGAAAGAACACAGAGGGGUGAGCAAGUGAUCGAGCCUCAGACUGUCUGUCUGGGCCAGACCCUGGGGAACACAUGUGGACACUACGGGCCUCCUUUUCUACUCAGUGUGAUCCUGGACAGGAAGAAUUCUUCACAGCCAAGGCCAAACAGCCCGGACAGACCACUGCCUUGUGGCUAUAUGAUUUCUUUGAACUGCCCUGUGCCAUCUUUUUGGUCACACCCACAUCUUUGCUUCUGCAUAACUCGCACAAUAGCACCAAGUCUCCUUGUCUUCCGGCCUGUGGCUGUCUGUGACUUCUGAGCAGCAGACACGGAGGCUGAAGGUCAGAGCCAGCAUUGCCACUACUUGACCUGUAACCCUGGAUGAGUCACUGAAGCUCUCUGGGCCUCAGUUUUCCUCAUAUGAAAAAUGGAGAAAUAACACCUGCCUUCCAGGGUUGUUAUGAUCAUUAAACUAGAUGAUUUAUACCAAGUGAGUCACGCAACGCCCCACAGAGCACAAACUCAAAGAUGCCAAUUAGUAUUUCUAAGCAUGGGAGGGAGCCCUGGGAGAAGGCCCUGGAGAAAAACUGCCUCUGGGACUGUGAGCCAAGCAAGAGAGAGAGUGGGAUCAGAGAAGGAAUGGGAUGGAGGCCGGGUGGAGGACACUGAAUCUAUCUCCUCCCGCGUUCCCUGCAGUUUCAUUUGGAAGGGCAGCGUCUGAGAUUUUAAAGUCAUAUAUCAUUGCCAUUUCCUUUUUUAAAAAUAUAAAUCAUUGUCCCAGAGACAUUCAAGUUCAGAAAGGCGCAUGUAUUAGGUCUGAGGCUCAUGUACAUCUAGUGUUAUAGAAAGCGGGAAAUCAAGAGGGGCUCCUGUCUUCGGCCUUCUCUUCCCAAAAUAAUGGAUGACUUUUUUUUUUCACUAUUAGAGGCUGUUAGCACCUCAGACUUCAUCCUGAACCUGGAUUAGUGAUCGGUUUUGUUUUAAGAUCCUAAGAGCACAAACAAUGAGACUGAAACAGGCUCCAUUCGCUAAUGCACUGCUCAUUGAGGAAUGUCAGUGAUGACAUACAUGUGGAAAAUUUGGGGCUACCAGACCUCUCCCCAGUCUCAUCUCAGUUUCAGGCCCACAAUGAGGUGAAAAUUGGAGAGAGGGCCCUGGAGCAGAGAAAGGGGGGUUCCUGGGACAUGUAGGGCCAUGUCACUGAGGCAACUUCCAGCAAUGAUUUACAGGAAGCGUUUAGCUCAUGCAUAUAUUGGGGCCAAUCUGAAAAGGAAUCAAGGCUCAUGAAACUCUCAACUGUGACAUUUUAUAGGGUAUGGCGCAACCAGAGUUAGCUAAGUACAGAUAUCAUUAGCUAUAUGUUCAUUUGAUUGCUAUUACAUAUUCUCUCUCUCUGACACACACAUACACACACACACACACGCACACACACACACGCACACACACACAUGACUGAAUUAUAUUCAGCAGUAUUUUAUGCUCUUUGGAAACUGUUACUUAUUCAGAUACAGGGUGUUUUGUUUUUGCUUUUUGCUGAUUCUCUACUAAUUUUAUUAUUCCCAAUACCCUCAUCUCUUUCAUUUUGAAUUAUGGAGUUUAUUGCAGUAUUGCAUUUUUUGAGAUGUAAAAACUAUUAUAAUUAGAACUAAAUUUUUCAAAAAUGGAAACAUGCAGGUUAAAUGAUAAAAAUAGUGUAUUUGUGAAAUUUGGGUUCCGUUUUGUUUUGUCAUCAGAGCAAAUAGAGAAAAAAUGAGUUGAUUACA